GACAGAGGUGCCGAGCGUUAGGCGGAAUCACUGGGCUUAAAGCGUGUGUAGGCGGAUCCGUAAGUACCUUGUGAAAUCCCCGGGCUUAACCUGGGAACUGCAUUGGUGACUGGCAGGCUUUGAGUGUGGCAGAGGGAGGUAGAAUUCCACGUGUAGCAGUGAAAUGCGUAGAGAUGUGGAGGAAUACCGAUGGCGAAGGCAGCCUCCUGGGCCAACACUGACGCUCAUGCACGAAAGCGUGGGGAGCAAACAGG
rnacentral:rRNA from 1 species